rnacentral:rRNA from 1 species
UAUUGGGCGUAAGGGCUCGCAGGCGGUUUCUUAAGUCUGAUGUGAAAGCCCCCGGCUCAACCGGGGAGGGUCAUUGGAAACUGGGAAACUUGAGUGCAGAAGAGGAGAGUGGAAUUCCACGUGUAGCGGUGAAAUGCGUAGAGAUGUGGAGGAACACCAGUGGCGAAGGCGACUCUCUGGUCUGUAACUGACGCUGAGGAGCGAAAGCGUGGGGAGCGAACAGGAUUAGAUACCCUGGUAGUCCACGCCGUAAACGAUGAGUGCUAAGUGUUAGGGGGUUUCCGCCCCUUAGUGCUGCAGCUAACGCAUUAAGCACUCCGCCUGGGGAGUACGGUCGCAAGACUGAAACUCAAAGGAAUUGACGGGGGCCCGCACAAGCGGUGGAGCAUGUGGUUUAAUUCGAAGCAACGCGAAGAACCUUACCAGGUCUUGACAUCCUCUGACAACCCUAGAGAUAGGGCUUUCCCUUCGGGGACAGAGUGACAGGUGGUGCAUGGUUGUCGUCAGCUCGUGUCGUGAGAUGUUGGGUUAAGUCCCGCAACGAGCGCAACCCUUGAUCUUAGUUGCCAGCAUUCAGUUGGGCACUCUAAGGUGACUGCCGGUGACAAACCGGAGGAAGGUGGGGAUGACGUCAAAUCAUCAUGCCCCUUAUGACCUGGGCUACACACGUGCUACAAUGGACAGAACAAAGGGCUGCAAGACCGCAAGGUUUAGCCAAUCCCAUAAAUCUGUUCUCAGUUCGGAUCGCAGUCU